rnacentral:lncRNA from 1 species
CCAUCUAGAGUUUUCUCAAUAUGCUGAAUCACCCAUUGAGCCAUCACAUGCUGCUGAGUCAGUUGCCAUGUCAAUGCUUGCUACAGAGUGGGGUGAUAAUUGAAGUUCCAGCUGAGGCGACUCACAGAGGCAUUUCAUCGAGCAGCUAAUUCAAUUCAUUGAACACCCGACUUGUUCUAAUAUGGUAUGAUGUAUAUAGGUGAUACAUAUUCACUCGCGCGUUAAAAUUAUAUACAUAUUCCC